GACGAACCGUCCAAACGUUAUUCGGAAUCACUGGGCUUAAAGGGUGCGUAGGCGGUCCGGGAAGUUGGGUGUGAAAGCCCUCGGCUCAACCGAGGAAUUGCGUCCAAAACUGCCGGGCUUGAGGGAGACAUAGGUGAGCGGAACCUAGGGUGGAGCGGUGAAAUGCGUUGAGAUCCUAGGGAACACCAGUAGCGAAAGCGGCUCACUGGGUCUUUUCUGACGCUGAUGCACGAAAGCCAGGGGAGCGAAGAGGAUUAGAUACCCUCGUAGUCCUGGCCGUAAACGAUGAGCACUGAUUUGGAGGGUCCUCCAUAGCCUUCCAGAUGUAGCGAAAGUGUUAAGUGCUCCGCCUGGGGAGUAUGGUCGCAAGGCUGAA
rnacentral:rRNA from 1 species